AGGAGCUGGAGCACUAGGGAUAGUUAUAGGACGAGUCAGGGUGCUGUAACCAUGACACCACACCAAUACUGGAUCUGAGGAGGCCACCACUCCACAACCCUGUGGAUAUGGGAAGCUGACGUGGGGUGACCAGUGCGAAUGGACGUGGGGGUGGUGUUCACUGCUGGGGGAGAAACGAAUGGGGAAUGACGGGACGCUCUGGAUUAGGGAAAAGCUAUCCCAAUCGUGACACUUGUAAAUAUGUUAAUCUGUUAAUUUGACGUUAAAGCUUAUAUGCCUUGAAUGUGAAUACACAAUACAUGUUAGCUGCAGCCACUCACUCAGCUAUGACUUUGGGGGUCGCGACAGAGAGGAGAGCCCCAUAUAUACUCUUUGACACCUUAUCUGGGCGGAG